rnacentral:rRNA from 1 species
UCCGGAGGUGUCGAUCGUUGUCCGGAUUUAUUGGGCGUAAAGCGCCCGCAGGCGGCCAGGCAAGUCCAGGGUGAAAUCUCCCGGCUCAACCGGGAGGGUGCCCUGGAAACUGCUUGGCUUGAGGCAGGGAGAGGGAUGUGGAAUUCCCGGUGUAGUGGUGAAAUGCGUAGAUAUCGGGAGGAACACCAGUGGCGAAGGCGGCAUCCUGGCCCUGUCCUGACGCUCAGGGGCGAAAGCGUGGGGAGAAAACCGG